CUGCCGCUUUAAAUCCCAGAGGCUUGGCGACGCGCCGCUGGCCGUUGCCCCGGGAGACGGGAGACGCGCGCACCUUAGGGAGCUCGACACCUGACUGGGACUGGCGGCGGCACCUGCCACUGCGCUAGCGGCGACCCUGCUUCCCCCCAGCCAUGGCCAACCCGCACCCGCGUCGCGGCUCCAGAAAGCCGGAGAAGGAGGAGGUCCCGGAGGAAGAAGAGGAGGAGGAGGAGGAGGAGGAGGAGGAGGAGGAGGAGGAGGAGGAGGAGGAAGAGGAGUUGUUGGUGGAGGGGAAGACAGGGGACGCGGAGGAGAAGACGCUGGAGGUCCAAGGGACGUUCAGCGAAGAGUACUUCUGGAAGAUGAUGGACAUCGAUGACAGCAGUGACGAAAACUCAAAGGCCUUCCUUCCCCGAUUAACCAGCAUCACCAGCCCCAGCCUGAGCCCGACCCCCACGCUCAGCGGGACGCUGUGGAGCGAGACACCGAUCUUGAGCUCACACUUGAGCUCACAGGAGACUGGGAGCGUCUCCUCCCAGAAAAGUUUUCCUAAGAUAUUCCAGACAUUUAGGAAAGACAUGUCUGAAGCGGAUUUAGAUAGGACUAUGUAUCACGGUUUGUAUCCAGGAAUUCCAACGUCAGUACAAACAGAAGAAAGCUGGCUUCAAAAAUUUUCUGGCAAAAGGCAGCCAAGGAAGAAAGCACCCUCUAUAAUUAAGGAACCUGAACAUGAAAAUCUGGCUUCUAAGUUAAGAGAAAAAUGGGUAAUUAAUCCAGAAGAGCGAAAACUGAAUGUUUUAUGUGAGUUGGAGUUUAAAGAAGACUUCAUAACACUGUUUGAGCCAGCUCUGAAAACACUGCCCAGCAUUGGGCCACCAUCCAUUCUGAAAUUCAAACAAGAGAGUUCCAAUAUAGGCAUUAACUUCAAGGAAGAAGAGGAGGAGAUAUCGCCCACGUGUGAAUUUUGUGGAGGCGAUCUAAAAUCAUUUCUUUCCAAUAUGGAUGUUUACUAUGACGAUGAUAGCUCUAAACCAAUAGAAGAUGUCUCCUGUUGUAGUUAUUUUCAAAAUCUGAUUGACUACAUCUAUGAGGAAAAACAAAAAACCCAAAGCUCUAAAGCUGAAUUAAUCUGUAUUGACCCUCAUGCAGCCCAUGGCAGUGAACUUGAUAGACUCAAAGCAAAGGAAAAAGCCCUUCGGAGAAAACAGGAGCGACAAAUGGCCAGACAAUUUGCACUAAUGACAAAUGAACAGACUAAUUUAUCUGAAGACGAGCCAAAGCACUUAAAAACAAUUUCUUACCAACUUUCCGUGGAUAUUCCAGAAAAAGAGCUAUUUGAUGACAGACUACUUGAUUUCCAACUAGAAAACAGAAACAUAUCCAUUGUUUGUUGUGAUGCUAGAAUAGCAUGUGGAAAGAUCAUGAGGAAUGAGCUCUUAGAGAAGCACUACAAACAUGGGAGCAAGUUUCUGACUUCAUUUCCAGAUGGAACAACACAAAUAUUCUACCCAUCUGGAAACCUAGCCAUCAUCCGAGUGCCCAACAAAAUAAAUGGCUUCACUUGUAUAGUCCAAGAAGACAUGCCCACUGACCCUGCAAUUUUAGCAUUGCUAGAUUCUUCUGGCAGAAUUUCCUGCUAUCAUCCCAAUGGAAAUGUCUGGGUAUACAUCAAUAUCUUGGGAGGUCAAUAUUCAGAUCAAGCUGGCAACAGAGUAAGGGCUUGGAAUUGGUCCAGUUCUGCCCCUACCUCCCCCUUUGUGUCAUUUAAACCUGUCUUUCUGGCUUUGAAUCAUCACAUUGGAGUUCGCAUCUUAGAACAAGACAAGAUUUCAAUCGCCUUUCUGGCAAUGGGCCAACAGGCAAGAAUCAGUGUCGGGACCAAAGUGAAGGGAAAAAGAGACCAUGACAAACAACGAGGUUAAGGGCAGCGACUGGAAGUAGUACAGAGAGAACGCCAAAGAGACCGCCUGUCCCAGCCCAGGAACGAGGUGUCAUGAGGGGUGGAGGGCACAAAGUAAUGAUAGCUGGGGGCAAGGAUGAAACGCAGUAACAUUGAAAUACCUUUGGAGAAAAUGUAAAUUGGUGGCAUCAUUCUGGACAACAAUCUACACUACCUAGGAAAGUUGAGGAUGUGCGAACCCAACACAUGGAAGUUCCAGCCCUACACAGAUAAAUCCUAGAGAAACACACAUUUACACAAGAGGACAAAAAACAAGCUUGUGCUUGCAGCAUUGUUUGUAAUCACAAAACAAAAUGUCCACCGACAGAAGAACAGGUAAACUGUGUUGUUAUGGACUGAAUGUUUGUGUUCCUCCAAAACUCAUACGUUGAAAUCUAAUUCCCAGUGUGGUGGUAUUUGGAGGGGGUCAUGAAGAUAGAGAGCCCUUACGAAUGGGAAUAGCUGGGGCGUCUGGGUGGUGCAGUUGGUUAAGCGUCUGACUCUUGAUCUUGGCUCAGGUCAUGAUCUCAUGGUUCAUGAGAUCCAGCCCCACGUUGGGCUCUAUGCUGUCAGCACAGAGCUCGCUUCAGGUCCUCUGUCUCCCUGUCUCUCUGCCCCUCCCCACGCUCUCUGUCAAAAAUAAAUAACCAUUAAAAACAAAACAAUGGGAAUAGUACCCUUAUCAAAAGAACCCAGAGAGUUAGCUCACGUUCCUUCCUCCAUGUAAGGAUGAAAGGAGAAAUCAGCAGUCUGCAACCCGAAAGACAGCUCUCACCAGAACCCGGCCAUACUGACACUGUGAUCUCAGACUUCUCAGCUUCCAGAACUGUGAGAAAUAAAUUCAUGUUGUUGAUAAGCCAUCUAGUCUGUGGUGCUUGUUUUACCAGCUUCAACUAAGACAUGGUGUAUUCAUACAGUGGAAUAUCAAACAGCGUUGAAAGUGAAUGAACUAGACUAUCUGAAUCAACAUAAAUGACCCUCAAAAACGGUCUCACUUUGAAGGAAAAAAUCAAAAGGGCAGAGGAAUACUUCAGUAUUAUUCUAUUUAUAUAAAGUCGCAAAACAUGCAAAACAAUGCCAUAUAUCCUUUAGGUAGACACACCUAUGCAGGAAAGUAUAAAGAAAGGCAUGGGAGUGAUAGACAUCAAGUUUCAGGCUGGUGCUACCACUGAAGCGUAUGUGAUGGGGACAGGGGGGACAGGAGCUUUGACUAGCUCUCAAGCAGGUGCUAAUAAGUUCAUAGGCCUUCGUUAAUUAUUCUUCAGAUAUAUUUUUAAUAUCCAAAGUUGAUCUUUUUCACUUUUUUACAAGACUAACCAGAAGCAGGUGAGCAAACACAGAAGACAUUUGAAGCAAUUUUUUUAGGAGAAGCAACAAUUCUUUGAGUCAGCAGAAGCUUUAGCUGGGCUCUUGAAAUUAGUGGGGGCGCCUGGGUGGCACAGUCGGUUUAGCGUCCGACUUCAGCCAGGUCACGAUCUCGCAGUCCGUGGGUUCGAGCCCCGCGUCAGG